GAAGAACCUUACCUGGGCUUGACAUACACCGGAUCGGGCUAGAGAUAGUCUUUCCCUUUGUGGCUGGUGUACAGGUGGUGCAUGGUUGUCGUCAGCUCGUGUCGUGAGAUGUUGGGUUAAGUCCCGCAACGAGCGCAACCCUUGUCUUAUGUUGCCAGCAUUUGGUUGGGGACUCAUGAGAGACUGCCGGGGUCAACUCGGA
rnacentral:rRNA from 1 species